UACAGAGGGGGCAAGCGUUAUUCGGAAUUAUUGGGCGUAAAGGGCGCGUAGGCGGUCGUGCAAGUGGAAGGUGAAAUCCCUCGGCUCAACCGAGGGACUGCCUUUCAAACUGCAUGACUUGAGUCCGGGAGAGGUGAGUGGAAUUCCCAGUGUAGCGGUGAAAUGCGUAGAUAUUGGGAGGAACACCAGUGGCGAAGGCGGCUCACUGGACCGGAACUGACGCUGAGGCGCGAAAGCGUGGGGAGCAAACGGG
rnacentral:rRNA from 1 species